AGCAGCCGCGGUAAUUCCAGCUCCAAUAGCGUAUAUUAAAGUUGUUGCAGUUAAAAAGCUCGUAGUUGAAUUUUGGGUCUGGCCGGGCGGUCCGCCCUCCGGGUGAGCACUGUUCCGACGCCGGGCCUAUCCUUCUGGUGAGCCGGCAUGUCCUUUGUUGGGUGUGUCGGGGAACCAGGACCAUUACCUUGAAAAAAUUAGAGUGUUCAAAGCAGGCGCAUGCUCGGAUACAUUAGCAUGGAAUAAUGAAAUAGGACGCGUGGGGCUAUUUUGUUGGUUUCUAGAACCGCCGUAAUGAUUAAUAGGGAUAGUUGGGGGCAUUAGUAUUCAAUUGUCAGAGGUGAAAUUCUUGGAUUUAUUGAAGACUAACUUCUGCGAAAGCAUUUGCCAAGGAUGUUUUCAUUAAUCAAGAACGAAAGUUAGGGGAUCGAAGACGAUCAGAUACCGUCGUAGUCUUAACCAUAAACUAUGCCGACUAGGAAUCGGGCGAUGUUAUUCUCAUGACUCGCCCGGCGCCUUA
rnacentral:rRNA from 1 species